rnacentral:rRNA from 1 species
UAGUACGGCGAGUGAGCGGGAAGAGCUCAAAUUUGAAAUCUAGUAGCCUUCGGCUGCUCGAGUUGUAAUCUAGAGAAGUGUUUUCCGUGCCGGCCCAUGUACAAGUCCCUUGGAACAGGGCGUCAUAGAGGGUGAGAAUCCCGUCCUUGACAUGGACCCCCGGUGCUCUGUGAUACACUUUCAACGAGUCGAGUUGUUUGGGAAUGCAGCUCAAAAUGGGUGGUGAAUUCCAUCUAAAGCUAAAUAUUGGCGAGAGACCGAUAGCGAACAAGUACCGUGAGGGAAAGAUGAAAAGCACUUUGGAAAGAGAGUUAAACAGUACGUGAAAUUGUUGAAAGGGAAACGAUUGAAGUCAGUCAUGCUCUUUGGUAUUUAUAUCAUUGAGUGGGGUCAACAUCAGUUUUGAGCGAUGGAUAAAGGCACUAGGAAGGUAGCACUCUCGGGUGAACUUAUAGCCUAGCGUCAUAUACAUUGUUUGGGACUGAGGAACGCAGCAUGCCUUUAUGGCCGGGAUUCGUCCACGUACAUGCUUAGGAUGUUGACAUAAUGGCUUUAAACGACCCGUCUUGA